rnacentral:sRNA from 1 species
CUUUGUACCAAUACAGCCAAAGCAGUCUGCAAAUGGCUGGUGGCUGGUGGCUUUUGCCACCGGCCU